CACGGCUACGUCACUUCCGGUUUCCUUUCCUCCAGGUUUUUCUCAUCUUUUAGUCCGGACAAAUGGGUUGCUGGUAUGAACUGGUUUUUGAUGAAAUUCGGCUCGGUCUCACCCGAGCCUAUCUAGGUCCGUCUCUGGAGUAGCCUGUCAUCGAUCGCGCCCUCCAUCGCUCAGCGACACAAGUGGAGGCCCCAGAACUGCAGUCUGCGUAGGUGACCUGUGUGGCGCGGGUCGGGCGGGGCCUUUUUGUCUUUGAGCAAACCCAGUAUACUUUCUCAGUGGUGGUUGGAAGGAAAUAUGUUACCCUGUCAUUUCGCAAGUAUGGAAAAAGACCUAAAAGAGAAUUUAGCAGCUGCAACCGCUGUUUUUAUUGAGUUCUAGCGGGCCAAUCUUAAAUAAUCGCUUGUUAGGUGUUACCCAUAUUUUGAGACUCUAUAUAUCGGUACUUCGUUAAGGCCAGGCAGCAGGUAAGUUGUAAAACCAAUAUAAAAACAUAGGUCACUGGUCAAAAGACUGCUUCAGGUCUCCUGACUCCAAAUCCGAGAUUCCUUUCACGGUAGCGUGUUUACUGCUUAAAUAUUUCUCUUCAACCCCAUUGCUUAACAAUGGGAAUGAAUUCUUUUACUAUUUAUUGCAAACAUAUGGGUCACGUUUUGUGCUAGCAUCUGAAAAUACAGAAAUUAGUAAGAAUUCUCUGCCCUCCAGGGGCAUCACCAACUUGGAUUCCCCUCUCAGCCCAGUUUUUCCACCCUAUUGCCUUCUCCCUUCAGGAAUAAUGAACUGGUCCUGGAAACAUACCAUGCUUUAUCAUAUCUCUCUGCCUUGUCAUGUGCUGUUCCUCUUACCAGGAAACUACCCUGCCUUUCCCCCAGUUUUGUUCUGUGAACGCUUUUGGGAAAUUAUCCUGAUGAUACCUCUACUCUCUUGAAGUACAGUAAAUUGUCUUUGACUUCCAUCACUUUUUGUAAUAUUACUAAUUGCCGUUUAUUGAGUUCAUGUGAUCAGCCUGGCACUGUACUAAGUGCUUUAUAUUAGUUUUAUUGUUCUUUUUUCACACCAACAUGAAUGAGUUUGAGUCAGUUCUUAUAACCUGCCAGAAUAAGUAUUCCUGUUCCUCUUUACAGAAGGAGAAAUAAGAAACAAAAAAGUUAAUUGCUUUAGGAUACACUGCUAGUAAGUAGUAAAUACCUGACUUAAGAUCCAACCUAGAUCUUGGAUUUUGCUGCAGGAUUUCCUCAAAGUGUCUGAAUUCCCACAACCUUUUUUUAGAUCACUUAUAACAUGGUAUUAUAAUUAUCUGUUUAACAAUUUUUUCUCACCCCUCAAGGACCCUGAGCUUCUGGAAGAUGAAGAAACAGCUCAGAUUUGACCAAGAUCACAUAAGUAGGAGUUGAGGAAUUGGAACCCACUAUGACUGACUCCAAAUUAAUAUAGUGUUUAUAGCCACUUACAUAAUAAUGGUAAAGGUUUUAUUUUUUCACUAUACAAUAUGUAGUAGAUAAACUUACUGAGGAAACAAGACAGCACAUGACAUGUCUUAAAGGAUACACACAUGACAGGAAGGAUUAGAAGAGGAAACAGAAACAGGUAACAGAGAAGCAGAGAGAGAUAGUACAAUCUCC